GAGCGCCGCGAUGUAGAUCUGCGCCAUCUGCAGCGUCUCGGCCUUGGACAGCUUCCGCGGGCCGCGCCGCGCCGGCACCACGCUCCGCAGCCUCUCGAAGGCCACGUUCAACGCCAGCAUCCUCCGCCGCUCGCGCGCGUUGGCAGCCAGGCGCCGCCGCCGCCUCGCCCGCGCGCCGGCCUCCUUCCCCGGCGGCGUGGCUGGCCCUGCCGAGCCCCGGCACAGCGCGCAGCCUGCUUCCCGCGCCCCGGCCCCGCCACCCGCCAGCGCGGGGGGGGGGUGCCCUCGGGGCUCUGCGCCGCGCGGGGCCCUCAUGGCGGCUCUGGCCCGCGCCGUCGCAGGGGCUUAUAUGGCGGCGGGGCCGGUGCGGGGGGCAGGCCCGACGCCACCGGGGCACUGAAGCGUGAGGGGUCUGCUCCCUCAGCCGCGGCCGGGGCGGGGCCCGGCGGGAAGCGCCUCAGUUCUGCCCCUUGCCCGGGCUCCCCGGCGGGCUCUUUCCCUCAAAACGCCCAGAGCCCCGCGGACCGGGCAGCCGGAGCCGCUGCCUCAUUGCCCCGGAGCCGGGGGACGCGGGUGCAACAUGGUGGCUCUGCCGCCUCCCCGCGGUCGAGGAUGCUCCGCUAACGUCCCCCUCGGGCCAGAGCGUGUCUCGGCUGCGCGGGGCCCCGUCAGUGCGAGCGGACCUCACCCCGCACACAGGCAGGACCGGACUGGAAGAAGACUCAACCCUGGGAUCGAAAGAUCCCGUCACAACAUGUGUCCGGAGUAUCAGUCGUGCUGGUGUUCAUGCAGAGCUGCUGGGACCUGUCCCCCACCUACAGUAGCUACUCUCCUGGAAAGCAAAAGAUACCAGAAUGAAGGAGACAUCCACCCAUUCUUCUUUCUUGUCCUAAAGUAUGGUGUAUUAUUGAAUGCUUGCCUUGCUUCACUUCAGGGCAAGAAUUCAACCCCUUUAUGUGAAGAAUGCAUCACAAAUUCUAUGAAUGAAGACCUGAAUUUUCCUGAAGAUCUGAAGUAAACCUAUGAGUUUAUUCACAAAAAUUAAUAACUGUGAUUGUUUCUGAUGACUUCUCCUCCAUUACUUUCUUGUUUCAUCAUCUUUGCAAGUCCUUGGGCUAGAUCUUCAGUUGGCAUCAGUCAAUGAAACUCCAUGGACUUUAGAUCCUACCCACUGAGGCAUUUGUUGCCCCUUUGAGUAUAGUUCUUUGGUACAAACCUAAUGCCUCACUCUUGUAAAAAAUAAAUAAAUAAAUAAAAGCAACACCCAUCUAUAGAGUACAAUCCUUCAGUAACUGAGCAAUGUCCAAGCAGAAAACUGUACAAAAGACAUAGAUUUUAAUGUCUAGAUUCUGAUGGGUUAUAAGAAGCAGAAGUUAUUGUAAACAGUAAUCCUUUUAGGUUUGGAGAGUGUAUUGACAACCCUCUUUAGGCAGAUCUCUACAAUUAUUGAACUGUAUUGUCACAGUUAUUAUUAACCCCCCCGCCCAAAAAAAAAAAAUAACCCCUGCUGUGUUUUUAUAACUUGUCAGUAGAAAAAAAAUAGCCUUUGGGAUUAAAGUAGGGAACAAAGUUCCUUUUCAGGGCACAGUUAUCAAGACAUCCUUGCAGAGACAAAUCUUUAAUGUAAAAUACAUUGCUGUAUGCUAUUCAGAGUAAUUUACUUUUUGCAGUUGUGUAAAGAGGUUCUUCCAAUGGCUAAACCCAAUGUCAAAGAGAGAAGUUGGACAGCUCCUUGCUGUCUGUCUGCUUCUACUAUUCACUUUCUGCAUGGCCUGCACCUGUGGAAAGCAAUGGGAGACUUGCUAUUGAUAUUAGCAUGAACAAGAAUGGAUCCUGUGCUUAUAUGUGUAUGUGCCUCUGCCUCUGUCCUUCUGUUCAUUUCUCGCUCUCUGACCUGCCAGCUUCCGAGCAUCAAAAUAAGUGACAACCAACAUAGGGAAAAUAGAUACAAAGUGAAGCUGAACUAGAAACCUCAUUGAUAGCCUGCCUGUUUUGAGCAGACUUUAAAAGACUAAUUGAUGGAGAAGCAUGAAGCAGAACUUGCUGGCAGGGUGUCCCUUGCAGCCCUGCCCCAUGGCCUUCUCUGUCUCACUUGGAAAAAGAAAUGGUAACUCACAUCCACAGCCUUCAAAUUAAUCCUAUUAGACACUCUUUUGGAAGAAACAAAAAACAGCCAACAUCCACUUUUAUAAAUCCAAUGAGAGAGUCCAUUAUAAGACACCCCUCCCCCCCACAUUUCUAUAUGCAUUACAUUUCUACAUGGUCUUGAAUGACAAUGAACCA